GACGUAGGGCGCGAGCGUUGUCCGGAUUUAUUGGGCGUAAAGAGCUCGUAGGCGGUCUGUCGCGUCGGUCGUGAAAACUUGGGGCUUAACCCUGAGCUUGCGGUCGAUACGGGCAUGACUGGAGUUCGGCAGGGGAGACUGGAAUUCCUGGUGUAGCGGUGAAAUGCGCAGAUAUCAGGAGGAACACCGGUGGCGAAGGCGGGUCUCUGGGCCGAUACUGACGCUGAGGAGCGAAAAGCGUGGGGGAGCGAACAGG
rnacentral:rRNA from 1 species